UCCGUAGGCGGAUUGAUAAGUCAGAGGUGAAAUCCCACAGCUUAACUGUGGAACUGCCUUUGAAACUGUUAGUCUUGAGUUAUAUGGAAGUAGAUAGAAUGUGCAGUGUAGCGGUGAAAUGCAUAGAGAUUACACAGAAUACCGAUUGCGAAGGCAGUCUACUACGUAUAUACUGACGCUAAUGGACGAAAGCGUGGGGAGCGAACAGGAUUAGAUACCCUGGUAGUCC
rnacentral:rRNA from 1 species